CAAUUUUCAGAUAAAAUUCCUGGUUUUUGUCAAAGGGGCAGAACCUACUAACUGGUAGUUUCAAUGAUGAACUAUCAUGAUAUAGGGCUAAAAUAUGGAUGUGCCAAAUCCACCUCAUGAAAAACAGAUUGGGCAAAAGUGGAGUGCGAACACUAAAUGAUGUGCUGCUAAAUAGCAGAUCUUUACAAGUAAAUUCGGCAAAUCCUGAUGCAACCUGAGCUUACCAAGUUUACUGACAGUUUGGACUCUGUGUGGAUGAUAAUAUGGACAAUAUAUUGUGUUCAUGUUGUGUUGUGAUUGACAUUUUUUAACAGAUAAGAUUUU